rnacentral:rRNA from 1 species
AUUGAACGCUGGCGGCAGGCUUAACACAUGCAAGUCGAGCGAGCGGCGGACGGGUGAGUAAUGUAUGGGGAUCUGCCCGAUGGAGGGGGAUAACUACUGGAAACGGUGGCUAAUACCGCAUACUAUCAGAUGUGCCCAUAUGGGAUUAGCUAGUAGGUGGGGUAAAGGCUCACCUAGGCGACGAUCCCUAGCUGGUCUGAGAGGAUGACCAGCCACACUGGAACUGAGACCAGGUCCAGACUCCUACGGGAGGCAGAAGUGGGGAAGAUUGCACAAUGGGCGCAAGCCUGAUGCAGCCAUGCCGCGUGUGUGAAGAAGGCCUUCGGGUUGUAAAGCACUUUCAGCGAGGAGGCGUUACUCGCAGAAGAAGCACCGGCUAACUCCGUGCCAGCAGCCGCGGUAAUAC